rnacentral:rRNA from 1 species
AGGAUGAACGCUGGCGGCGUGCUUAACACAUGCAAGUCGAACGAUGAUCCCAGCUUGCUGGGGGAUUAGUGGCGAACGGGUGAGUAACACGUGAGUAACCUGCCCUUAACUCUGGGAUAAGCCUGGGAAACUGGGUCUAAUACCGGAUAUGACUCCUCAUCGCAUGGUGGGGGGUGGAAAGCUUUAUUGUGGUUUUGGAUGGACUCGCGGCCUAUCAGCUUGUUGGUGAGGUAAUGGCUCACCAAGGCGACGACGGGUAGCCGGCCUGAGAGGGUGACCGGCCACACUGGGACUGAGACACGGCCCAGACUCCUACGGGAGGCAGCAGUGGGGAAUAUUGCACAAUGGGCGCAAGCCUGAUGCAGCGACGCCGCGUGAGGGAUGACGGCCUUCGGGUUGUAAACCUCUUUCAGUAGGGAAGAAGCGAAAGUGACGGUACCUGCAGAAGAAGCGCCGGCUAACUACGUGCCAGCAGCCGCGGUAAUACGUAGGGCGCAAGCGUUAUCCGGAAUUAUUGGGCGUAAAGAGCUCGUAGGCGGUUUGUCGCGUCUGCCGUGAAAGUCCGGGGCUCAACUCCGGAUCUGCGGUGGGUACGGGCGGACUAGAGGUAUGCAGGGGAGAACGGAAUUCCUGGUGUAGCGGUGGAAUGCGCAGAUAUCAGGAGGAACACCGGUGGCGAAGGCGGUUCUCUGGGCAUUACCUGACGCUGAGGAGCGAAAGCAUGGGGAGCGAACAGGAUUAGAUACCCUGGUAGUCCAUGCCGUAAACGUUGGGCACUAGGUGUGGGGGACAUUCCACGUUUUCCGCGCC